rnacentral:ncRNA from 1 species
UCUAUGCUUCUCUCGGGGUUGUGCCACUGUCCCAUGAGCGUGCGGUGUCCCGGAGUGCAUCGUGAGGGCAGCACUGCCAAUACCCACACAACAUGCCCACAUCAACUUGGGCUUGGCUUUCUAUUGGUGCUAUUUUUGUAAAA